UACAGAGGUCUCAAGCGUUGUUCGGAUUUAUUGGGCGUAAAGGGCGCGUAGGCGGCGGGGUAAGUCGGGUGUGAAAUCUCAGGGCUCAACCCUGAAACUGCACUUGAUACUGCUCUGCUUGAGGACUGGAGAGGAGACUGGAAUUCACGGUGUAGCAGUGAAAUGCGUAGAUAUCGUGAGGAAGACCAGUGGCGAAGGCGGGUCUCUGGACAGUUCCUGGACGCUG
rnacentral:rRNA from 1 species